rnacentral:rRNA from 1 species
UACGGGGGGGGCAAGCGUUGUUCGGAAUUACUGGGCGUAAAGCGCGCGUAGGCGGCUUUGUAAGUUAGAGGUGAAAGCCCGGGGCUCAACUCCGGAACUGCCUUUAAGACUGCAUCGCUUGAAUCCAGGAGAGGUGAGUGGAAUUCAUGGUGUAGCAGUGAAAUGCGUAGAGAUCAUGAGGAAGACCAGUGGCGAAGGCGGGUCUCUGGACAGUUCCUGACACUGAGGCACGAAGGCCAGGGGAGCAAACGGG